rnacentral:rRNA from 1 species
UAGGGAAUCUUCCGCAAUGGGCGAAAGCCUGACGGAGCAACGCCGCGUGAGUGAUGAAGGUCUUCGGAUCGUAAAACUCUGUUAUUAGGGAAGAACAAAUGUGUAAGUAACUAUGCACGUCUUUACGGUACCUAAUCAGAAAGCCACGGCUAACUACGUGCCAGCAGCCGCGGUAAUACGUAGGUGGCAAGCGUUAUCCGGAAUUAUUGGGCGUAAAGCGCGCGUAGGCGGUUUUUUAAGUCUGAUGUGAAAGCCCACGGCUCAACCGUGGAGGGUCAUUGGAAACUAGAAAACUUGAGUGCAGAAGAGGAAAGUGGAAUUCCAUGUGUAGCGGUGAAAUGCGCAGAGAUAUGGAGGAACACCAGUGGCGAAGGCGACUUUCUGGUCUGUAACUGACGCUGAUGUGCGAAAGCGUGGGGAUCAAACAGGA